GUCAGGGAGGACAUGUUCAGCAUCUUGAGCGUGAAGCAGUGCGUGACGUCAGUCUACCAGUCAAAUGGACAGCAUGAGAGGACCAACCCAACCAUCAAGAGGGCUUUGUCCAAGUACUGCAAUGACAAGCAGAAUGACUGGGACAAACAUCUGAAAGGCCAAGUACCCACCAUACUUUCUGAAGUUUAAUGGCAGAGAUUCUCAACACAAAGCACGAAUCCGGAGGUAGACAGAGACGCUCGGAUUGCUGAGGUGAUAGCAAUGCGUGCAAAGGUAGUUUUUAGUUAAAAUUUAAUCGCAUUAUCAAUUAUAAGUUGUUUUGUUUACGGAACCAUCAACAGGGCGUCUCGUGUGCUGCGCUAAUCACUCCGCCCAAGUAGCCACUCCGCCCAAGUAACAUUAGCUGUGCUCCUACGCCUAGUGAGAAUAUAGUUCCCAGUAUUUAUACGAUUAAAAAUGGUCUCUGUCUCAUAUAGCCUUGUUAUUUGUACACACUGUGACUAUACAGAUCACAACAUGUAAAUAGGAAAAUGUUUGCCUUAUUUUGUCACUUAUUGGGAUUACUAUGCUACCAUUAUCCAUUUACAUCCAGUCUUUGUGCUAAGCUAGGCUAGCGGUGGUGCGUCAAAUAACACUUACAGAACGCACAGAAAUGAAAAAGGUAUGUAUGGACUUAUCUAACUCUGGGGGAUACUGUGAAUAAGCUAAAGUCCCAAAAAGUCGGAGUGUUCCUUUAAUAAUGACUGGAUGAAAAAUGACAAUUACUCCACAUGGCUAAAGCAAACACCAGGCGAUCCACUAUAUGCUAAUGACUGGAUGAAAAAUGACAAUUACUCCACAUGGCUAAAGCAAACACCAGGCGAUCCACUAUAUGCUAUUUGCUCCGUAUGCUCAUUCUGUUUAAACAUGAAGGCAAAACUGCUUUGGAUGACCAUGCUAAAACGAAGAAACAUCAGAGUCGCGUUCAAGUAACCAGACAAACAAAGGCAAUGGUGAAGUCUGAGCUUCAGGUCAGGUUGAAUUUCAAAUUGUCAUGCACUAAAUUCAAGACAUUCAUUGAAGAACAGAUACCACUGAUAGCUGCAGCAAAGGGAAACACCAAGUAUAGAUGGAAGACUAGGUAA
rnacentral:lncRNA from 1 species